rnacentral:lncRNA from 1 species
AAGAACUAUUGCUGGUAUCACCAGCAAGGGAUGUCCGACUAGAAUGAAAAGUUGGUGUUGGUCGUUUCAACUUGCUACCUGAUGAUGGGAUAACCUUAAAAAAAAUAAUAAAAAGGUCACAUUUUACUUGGUAAAAUCUUUGCCAGAAAUUCAACUUUAAAAGGUCUCCUUACACCUCCUUAUAUUUGCUUAGUUGAAAAGCAAAUUAAAAGUCCAGGAAAACAAAGAUUUCUCUUAAAGUAUCCUAGGUCAUAUAUUUUGAUAAUUCCCAAAAUCAAAGUUUUAUGUUCCAAAUAAAAAUUUCAAAAUGUCUUCAAAUACCUUUUGUUUUACUAAUUUCCCCUAGAAAUGAAAAAAAAAAAAUCCUCAGUAAGAAUACAAUAGUUACAACAAACAAUUAUGGUGAAUGAGUAAAGGAAAAAGAAAUUCAAAUAAUACUAGGUAUCAAGAUUUUGGGGUUAAAAAUUUGAAAUGAGUUUUAGCCCACCUAUUUGAUAUGGAGAUUCAAGUAUUACUCCAAUCUUUUUUUAUUUUAUUUUUUUGAGACGGAGUCUCGCUCUGUCACCCAGGCUGGAGUGCAGUGGUGCAAUCUCGGAUCACCGCAAGCUCUGCCUCCUGGGUUCACACCAUUCUCCUGCCUCAGCCUCCGAAGUAGCUGGGACUACAGGCACCCGCCACCACGUCCAGCUAAUUUUUUUGUAUUUUUUAGUGGAGACGGGGUUUCACCGUGUUAGCCAGGAUGGUCUCGAUCUCCUGACCUUGUGAUCUGCCCACCUCAGCCUCCCAAAGUGCUAGGAUUACAGGUGUGAGCCACCGCACCUGGCCCCAAUCUCUUAACACUAAGUAGGUGCAGUAACUUUAGUAAGAUCUUUUAGUCAUUAUCCUUACUGGUAAAAUGCAGAUAAAAUUACUUAACUUGUGGAUCAAAUAAACUAUGAGAAGCACACGACUGUGGGACUGAGACAUCAGGAACAAGUCUGUGCAUGAAGAACCAGGAGACCUGGGUUUGAGUCUGGGUUCCAGGACUGAUUGAAAUUAACACCUGUGUCUUUGCUUCUCUCUUGGGAAAUCAGGGAUUAAAUCCUGCCUCUUUGACUUCAUUUCUACCACACUCCUCAUCAGUCCAUCCCAGCCACACUAGCUUCCUUGCUGUUCCACCAAUGGCCCAGUGAGGGUCCACCAGUCUUGUCCCCUUGCUGUUCAUUUUGCCUGGACUGUUGUUGCACAAUCACCACACCCCAAGCCUACCCCAGAUACACGUGUGGCUCACCCCCUCAUUCCCUGCAGGGGCUCUAUUGAAAGGAUGACCUUAGUAGAGAGGUCUUGUCUCACUACUCAGAACACUGCUUGUACACUUCUAUUCUCUCCCCUGCUUCCUGUGUUCUGCACAGCACAGAAGAGGAACUCAAUAAAAACUUGCAUGAAUAAAUGAUGAAUAGAAGCAUUUCCCAAACUGGAAAAGAGCUACAUAUUAUUAUCACUGCUACCAAUAGGUGCUAUGUUUCCUAUUUGAGUGAUUUUUUUUGGUUUUUUAGAUAGUAGGCUUAACUGGAGGAAAAAGAGUAUUUUAAAUGUGUGGGUGUUUUUUUUUUUUUUUUUUUUUUUUUUGAGACAGAGUCUUGCUCCAUCACCCAGACUGGAGCACAGUGGCAUACUUCAUGGCUCAUUGCAGCCUCGACCUCCCAGGCUCAAGCAAUCCUCCCACCUCAGCCUCCCUAGUGGCUGGCUUAUUUUUGUAUUUUUUGUAGAGACAGGGUUUCUCCAUGUUGCCCAGGCUGGUCUUGAACUCCUGGGCUCAAGUGAUCUGCCCACCUCGGCCUCACAAAGUGUUGGGAUUACAGGGGUGAGCCACCAUGUCCAGCCUUAAAUCUGUGUGGGGUUUUUUUUUUUUUUUUUUUUUUUUGAGGCAGUCUCACUCUGUUGCCCAGGCUGGAGUGCAGUGGCACAAUCUUGGCUCACUGCAACCUCUGCCUCCCAGGUUCAAGUGAUCUCCUGCCUCAGCCUCCCAUGUAGCUGGGACAACAGGCGCCUGCCACCACACCCAGCUAAUUCUGUAUUUUUAGUAGAGAUGGGGUUUUGCCAUGUUGACCAGGCUGAUCCUUAAAUGUUUUAAACAUCCAUUAUUUGACCUUGUCUCUACUUUGCUUUUUAAAAAAUGAAAAAACAAACAAACAAACAAACAAAAAAACCCCCAAAACAUUACUUAUGCCACAUGCUACAGCAUGCCAUUCUAAUUUUUCUUUGAAAUCAAUUAUGUAAAUUGUUUUCCAGGACCUUUAAGACGUUUAUGCAAACAGAAGAGAAAAGCAAUCCAUCUCAUUGUUUGCUGUACUUCUUAAAUUUAUAAAGAAAAAGCAUAAGCGAUAGAAAGUGAUUAACACUCAAGCACAAAAUUUCCUGGCCACAUAGGAGGAAGAACACCAGUUUCAGAAGCUAAGGUUCCUGCGCACUGCUGCUGGAAGACCACAGCUAGAACCCGGGCUAGAAUUCCAAGUCAGGAGAUGGCCUGGCUACAGAACACCAAUAAGUAAGGAAAGAUGAAGCCUCAAAAUGAAAUGAAACAGAAAAUAAAACCUUAAGACAGAACAAAAGCCCUGAUUUAUCAGAACUGUAUGAGAAUUUGUACAUCAUUAAACAUCUAAAAUUUAAAAUAGAACUGAGAUUUUUAUGAAACUGGAGCCAUUAAGGAAAGAAGAAAAGCAAGAUAAGCAGGGUGAGUCUAGUAGUUUAGUGGCAGUAGGUCCCCAGAUCAUAUUCUAAACCAGAUAUAUUUCUGAACUGGAGUUUUAGCUUGAAGUGAAAUGAACCUCAAAACAGCAGCUCAUUCAUAGCCAUUGACUUCUUGUGCAUCCCUUGUUUCCCUGGCUAAGGCUUUCCAAGACUGAAGGCAACACUGUCUUGAGGCACAAGAAUCCAAUGUUUCUUGGUAGGAGCUGGAAUGCAAACUGCACUACUAUCAGACAAGCCACUAGUCCAUGUUUUAUUUCUAAAACACUGCUCUUCCAAAAGCGUUCAGGCACUUUAAUGGCUGCACUUGAACAUGCUUAAUUGCUGGCAUGUGUAUUCAAAUCAAGGCUACAGAAACUCAAGUGCCUAGGCCAAGAAAUUCAGAAGCUAGAAUGUGAGCCUCAGGUCAGUGUUCACUGGUGCUGUGCUUGGCUGAAGGAGACAGCACCCACGCCUCGGACCAGUGUGGUGUGGCAAUACCAACCACCCUGGACAUGUGUCUCAGGGCAGGUGGCGCCAACCACUCUUCUGUUCUAAGCAAAGACAGAACAUUGUAGAACAUGCGCCAUAGUUGAAUUUCAAGUGUUCAUAACUCGUCUGAGUAUCUGACAUUUGGAGAUUCCAAGAGGCCUGAUUAUAAAUGACAUCAAUAAACAAAUCUACAGCAAUGACCAUCAUUUACCAUUCUCAGCAAAUAUCAUUCUCAAGAUUGUUAUAAAGUUAUUAAUCUAGUUUCAGGCAUCUCUUAUUUCUCUCCAAUUUUGGUGAAUCCGAGUUAGAAACCCCUGAAAACACUGGACUAGAUGAAUCAGCUGUGACAGCAAGCACCACAGAGAUGAAAGAGUGCAGGGAUUCGUGUCAGGAAGAAGAGCUGGUCAAGUCCAGUAGCGAGGGCCUCGUCUUGACUGUGUCCUCAGUCAGCAAAGCCAUACUCUACCUCGGGGGUGGGCAGCUGGAGGUCAGGAGAAUGGCUGUCCCUGAUAGGGGUGCCAGCUUUACUGUUUACCAACCAGGGUUUGUCAUAACAGCGAGAGAACUGAAGUGAAGUCUGUGAAACGGAAAUCCAAAGGGAAGGACAGGAACAAUUGAAAAAGGAACAAAAAGGGUGCACAUUGGGAACAGAAAAAAAUAAAUAGAAGAUACUAAAUUUUAAAGAAACAGAAAACAAAAUAAAAUGCAUGUUGGUCCAUCAGGAUGAGAAGGACCAGGCAGGCACUAACAUCAUUCACACAUAACCCAUCAUAACAUCAAACUUAGCUGUUAGCUCCACUGCACAGCCAGUGCCUGGAUUUUCUGUCCUUUUUCCUUAUUUUUUUUUUUUUUAAUUUUUAUUUUUUAGAGACAGAGUCUCACUCUGUUGCCCAGGCUGGAGUGCAGUGGUGCAGUUCAUAGCUUACUGCAGCCUUGUAUUCCUGGGCUCAAGCAAUCCUCUUGCCUCAGCUUCCUGAGUAGCUGGGACUAUAGGUGCUCACCACCAUGCUAGGCUAAAUUUAAAAAUUAGAGAUGAUAAAUUUAGAAAUUUGUAGAGAUGGUCUUGCUAUGUUGCCCACGCUGGUCUUCAACUUCUGGUCUCAAGGGAUCCUCCCACCACAGCUUCCCAAAGGCUGGGAUUACAGGCAUGAGCCACUGUGUCCAGCCUGGAUUUUCAAAAGUAGUAACACUGGAUGGGCUCAAACUUAAACUGAGAACAUGAGGAAAUAAACAUUUCUGACAUAACCAGGCUGAGUGCAUAUUUUAAUAAAUGUCCUUUGGAGUCAUCUUAAAGGCCAUAUAUCUGUGUACUGCUAGGAACAGGGCAGUCUUGAUCUGUGUGUUUUCACGUUUUAUUUCUAAAAUAGAAAACAUGUUUUCAUUUUUAUUUCUUCUCCUCACUGGAGUCUUUCAGAGGCUACCGUGAACAAUGAACAUCUGUGAGGGUGGGAUUGGGGAAGAAGGGCAUAAUGGAGAUCAGUACAUACCUUGGUUCCACUGGCUGGGGUGGCUGGAGAAG